AUACGUAGGGUGCGAGCGUUGUCCGGAAUUACCGGGCGUAAAGAGCUCGUAGGUGGUUUGUCGCGUCGUCUGUGAAAUUCCGGGGCUUAACUCCGGGCGUGCAGGCGAUACGGGCAUAACUUGAGUACUGUAGGGGAGACUGGAAUUCCUGGUGUAGCGGUGAAAUGCGCAGAUAUCAGGAGGAACACCGGUGGCGAAGGCGGGUCUCUGGGCAGUAACUGACGCUGAGGAGCGAAAGCAUGGGUAGCGAACAGGAUUAGAUACCCUGGUAGUCCAUGCCGUAAACGGUGGGCGCUAGGUGUAGGGGUCUUCCACGACUUCUGUGCCGUAGCUAACGCAUUAAGCGCCCCGCCUGGGGAGUACGGCCGCAAGGCUAAAACUCAAAGGAAUUGACGGGG
rnacentral:rRNA from 1 species